rnacentral:lncRNA from 1 species
AUGUCUCAAUCCUUGUACAGCUCAAAGCUGCUUCACCCUGAGAUGUCACUGAUGGAUCCAGUUCUUUCUGCUUGGAAAAUAAAUGCCUGGAGUGGUCUGUGGUGGUUUUGUGCAGCAGGAGAUGGUUGGAAUUCUUCAUGUUUUACCUCAGCCCGUGCCAGCAGCAGCUUUGCCUUUAAAUGCCCUUUUUUGUUCUGUUUGGAGGGCAGGUGGACGCUCCUGGGAGCUGGGGCUGCGUUCAGGGAAGAAGUUGCCUUCUCCCAAUCUCCUGGGAGCUCCUUUUCUGGGAAUGCCUGUCCUGUAUGCUUCUCUUCCUGUGAUACCUGGGAUACCAGGAACACAAAGCUUUUCAAUUUUCUGCUCACCUUACCAUCCUCAGGAGGGUCCCAGCUUGGGAAAUGUGAUCCUGCUUCAAUUAGAUCCAUGAUCCAUGAGAGGAUUCCUCUCCUUGUGGGAAGGCUGCAGCAGCCCAGUGCAAAGGGUCCCAAGGAAUGAUUUCCUGCCGGGGUGACGUGGAUUUCGGUGUGGAUUUCCUCUCCCUUCUGUGAAUUCGAGCCAGGCUGAGGACUUGAAAGUAAAACGAGAUCGUGUCUGGGCAGGGAUUGAGACUUGGAAGUAGCAAUGAGCUGGUUUAUGACAACAAAGAGGGGAAAAAAAGGAGCCUUUGGCUCAGGAUUUAUUUAGAGAUGAAGGCUCAGGGCCGUGAACGCCCUGGGGCUGAGGUAGAAGCAGCUCCUCGGCAAUGGAGAUAAGAGGGUCCUUUGGCAGCGGCUGCAGGAAGCACUUUUUGUCUGGAUUGAAUCCGCAGGGCGAGGCCAUGGGAAAUCAGGUCAGUGUGGAGAUUUUAUUAGUGCUGCAGUCACCCUCCCCACGUCCUAGGCUGGGUUAGAGCAGGAGGGAAUCACAGAAUUCUGGAAUGGUUUGGGUUGGAAGGGUCAUGAAGCUUGUCUGGCUAUACCCCUGCCAUGGCAGGGACACCUCCCACUGUCCCAGGCUGCUCCCAGCCCCAUCCAGCCUGGCCUUGGGCACUGCCAGGGAUCCAGGGGCAGCCCCAGCUGCUCUGGGCACCCUGUGCCAGGGCCUCACCUCUCUCGCAGGGAAUUUCUCCCCACUAUCCCUUCUUACCCUGUCCUCCUUCAGCUUGAGGUGUUAGGGAAGAGCCAGGAGGCUCCGGAGUGGUCACCACAGGGACACUGUAGGGAUGUGCUGCCUGGGGAGCUGGAGCCCUCAGUUUUGGGGGACAGGGUCACAAAGGGAUAAUGGACUUGUUUAUUCUUGUGGCUCUCCCCAGCCUGAGGGAGGUGCUGGCAGAGGGGGCUGUGUGAGGAGCUGCAGGGUUGGUUUAGGGACCAUUGACUUUGCUUUCUAGCAGGGGUUACAGUGAACUUGUCAGCAAUGCACACAUUAAAAUAGUGAGUUGUAAUUUCUAAUAAACAGUUUUAACAAUAACA